AAGCAGGGGAUCACUUGUGACCUUGCGCUAAUAGAUGAGCCUAAGUCGGAUUAGCUAGUUGGUGGGGUAAAGGCCUACCAAGGCGACGAUCUGUAGCGGGUCUGAGAGGAUGAUCCGCCACACUGGGACUGAGACACGGCCCAGACUCCUACGGGAGGCAGCAGUGGGGAAUAUUGGACAAUGGGGGGAACCCUGAUCCAGCCAUGCCGCGUGUGUGAAGAAGGCCUUUUGGUUGUAAAGCACUUUAAGCGAGGAGGAGGCUACUCUAGUUAAUACCUAGAGAUAGUGGACGUUACUCGCAGAAUAAGCACCGGCUAACUCUGUGCCAGCAGCCGCGGUAAUACAGAGGGUGCGAGCGUUAAUCGGAUUUACUGGGCGUAAAGCGUGCGUAGGUGGCCAAUUAAGUCAAAUGUGAAAUCCCCGAGCUUAACUUGGGAAUUGCAUUCGAUACUGGUUGGCUAGAGUAUGGGAGAGGAUGGUAGAAUUCCAGGUGUAGCGGUGAAAUGCGUAGAGAUCUGGAGGAAUACCGAUGGCGAAGGCAGCCAUCUGGCCUAAUACUGACACUGAGGUACGAAAGCAUGGGGAGCAAACAGGAUUAGAUACCCUGGUAGUCCAUGCCGUAAACGAUGUCUACUAGCCGUUGGGGCCUUUGA
rnacentral:rRNA from 1 species